rnacentral:rRNA from 12 species
UUAGGAAGCCUAACCCUCCCGUGAGUGCCUGACCCCAUCAGAUCUCUAAAGCUAAGCAGGGCUGGGCCUGGUUAGUACUUGGAUAGGACACCGUCCAUGGAGGGCCAUUAGACUUAGC